CCCAGCCUGAGGUGCAGUGCUGCAUCUCUGGUCAGUUGGGAGUCUGAGAUGAAGCACUGUAGCUCGGGAAGGGAGAAGCUGUUCUGC
rnacentral:pre_miRNA from 1 species